rnacentral:rRNA from 1 species
GAUGAACGCUGGCGGCGUGCCUAAUACAUGCAAGUAGAACGCUGAAGCUUGGUGCUUGCACCGAGCGGAUGAGUUGCGAACGGGUGAGUAACGCGUAGGUAACCUGCCUGGUAGCGGGGGAUAACUAUUGGAAACGAUAGCUAAUACCGCAUAACAGUAGAUAUUGCAUGAUAUCUGCUUGAAAGGUGCAAAUGCAUCACUACCAGAUGGACCUGCGUUGUAUUAGCUAGUUGGUGAGGUAACGGCUCACCAAGGCGACGAUACAUAGCCGACCUGAGAGGGUGAUCGGCCACACUGGGACUGAGACACGGCCCAGACUCCUACGGGAGGCAGCAGUAGGGAAUCUUCGGCAAUGGGGGGAACCCUGACCGAGCAACGCCGCGUGAGUGAAGAAGGUUUUCGGAUCGUAAAGCUCUGUUGUAAGAGAAGAACGAGUGUGAGAGUGGAAAGUUCACACUGUGACGGUAUCUUACCAGAAAGAGACGGCUAACUACGUG